CUACGGAGGAUCCGAGCGUUAUCCGGAUUUAUUGGGUUUAAAGGGUGCGCAGGCGGCCAUUUAAGUCAGCGGUUAAAUCGUGGGGCUCAACCCCAUUCUGCCGUUGAUACUGGGUGGCUUGAUUGCGGUCGAGGUUGGCGGAAUUCGUUGUGUAGCGGUGAAAUGCAUAGAUAUGACGAAGAACACCGAUUGCGUAGGCAGCUGACCAGACCGCAAAUGACGCUCAUGCACGAAAGUGCGGGGAUCGAACAGGAUUAGAUACCCUGGUAGUCCGCACAGUAAACGAUGAAUACUUGUUUCCGGCGAUAUAAUGUCGGAGGCAAAGCGAAAGCGAUAAGUAUUCCACCUGGGGAGUACGCCGGCAACGGUGAAACUCAAAUGAAUUGACGGGG
rnacentral:rRNA from 1 species